rnacentral:lncRNA from 1 species
GGAGAAUUUUAGGGGCUGGCCCGAUGGUGUAGUGGUUAAGUUUACAUGCUCCGCUUUGGUGGCCUGGGGUUUGCAGAUUUGGAUCCUGGGUGUGGACCUACACACUGCUUAUCAAGCCAUGCUGUGGCAGGCGUCCACAUAUAAAGUAGAGGAAGAUGGACACAGAUGUUAGCUCAGGGCCAAUCUUCUUGACCAAAAAGAGGAGGAUUGGCAGCAGAUGUUAGUAAUCAUCUUCUUCAAAAAAAGAGAAUUUGGAAUAAUGAAAGGCUCGGGGCAGGCACUCUGGGCAGAAGGAAAAGCCAAAGUGAAGGCGCAGGACUGAUGAAGUGAAGGUCUGGGAGUGGUGUGAGGGCGAGGCAGACCUCGUAAGGAAGCAAGCUUUAGAGAACAUGGUGCGUACACAAUAUGAACAUGUGUGUUUUAUGUGUCCAUCUGUUUUUUCUGAUUUCAAAGGUAAUGCAUUUUUUUAUAAAAGCAUGAAACAUUAGAGAAGCAUAUAAUAUAGAAAAAUGUGGAAUGUUCCCCCAUGAUCUCCUCCCCAAGAAAAAAACGGUAACAUUUUGAUGCACAUUCCCUUAGAAUUUUUUCUAUGCACCGUCUAAUCAUCUCCUCCCCAAAAAACACCAGAGAGAAGUCUCCUCUGUUCACAGCUCUGCAUUUCCUUUGUUCACCUCACAGCAGGCGCUCCACCACAGUGGCAUCUUUCGCUGUUAGUCCUCAAGAUCUACCUCUCUCCUUUCAAGGGCCCCGUAGUGUUUCAUCGCACAACGAGCCUCCCAGUACACAGCUGCACACUCCAGCUGCAAGUUGCUCUGCUCCUGCCACAUUGGAUGCCACCUCAGCACGGCCUGAUGAGUGGCACCAUGUCCACACCCAGGGUCUGAACUGGCAAAGCCCCAGGCCGGUGAAGCUGAGCGUGUGAACUCAACCACUUGGCCACAGGGCCGGCCCUCAAAUUAAUUUUUGUCUCCCUUUAAGACUUUAGGAUUAUGUUUUACUUAGAAAGCCUUUUUCUUCUUUUUUUUGAAGAUUGGCACCUGAGCUAACAUCUGUUGCCAAUCUUAUUUUCUUUUCUUCUUCUUCUUCUCCCCAAAGCCCCCCAGUAGAUAGUUG